rnacentral:lncRNA from 1 species
UGAAGGUGGAGAAGGGAGAAGCUGAUUUAAAAGAAAACAAACUGAAGGUGGAGAAGGGUGAAGCUGAGUUAAAAGAAAACCAACUGAAGCUAGAGAAGGACAAAGCUGAGUUAGAAGAAAACCUACUGAAGCUAGCGGGAUUGCAGAAGAAACCACGGCUUGCGUAAUUUGCUUUUCUGAAAUACUUUCUCAAUGGUUUAUUGAGGAUGUUGAUGAACUGAAGAUACAAACAGUAUGUGUUUGUGUGAUGGUUUUGUGUUUGAAUCUCAAUGGUUUAUUGGGAUGUUUAUGAACUGAAGAUACAGACAGUCUGUGUUUGUGUGAUGGUUUUGUGUUUGGAUCUCAAUGGUUUAUUAGGAUGUUUAUGAACUGAAGAUAGAGACAGUAUGCAUUUGUGUGAUGGUUUUGUGUUUGAAUCUCAAUGGUUUAUUGGGAUGUUUAUGAACUGAAGAUACAGACACUAUGUGUUUAUGUGAUGGUUUUGUGUUUGAAUCUCAAUGGUCUAACUGAGAUUUUUUUUAUUAGGUUCGAAAAAUGGAUUUAGAUAAAAGAUUAGUCCAGUUUAAAAUAUGAGUCGGGCUCGGGCUUAAAAAUUCAUGGCUCAAGCCAUUUUCUAAUUUUCUAAUAUAUUAUAUUAUGCUAUUUUUAUAUAUUACGUAAAUUUUAUGGAAGAUAAAUAUGUAGUAAUAUAUAUAAUAUUAUAAUGUAAACAUUAAAAAAUAUUAAGAUGUCUAUAUAAAAUUUUAAUAAAUAGAAAACUAUAUAAAUCUAUUAUAUAUUAAAAUAAAAAUAAUAUAAAUAUUUUCUUAAAAAAAUUAGUUAACUAUUUAUAAAUAUGAGCGAUUUCAAUAAAAUUUUAAAUUUAUAUUUUAGGCCAAGCGGACUUGAACAAACAUAAAGUGUGUUGAUAUUACACUUAAAUCCGGAAUAACUUAACUCAUAUCAUCUUUAAAUGCAAAUGAGUUAUACCUUAUUCUCAUUUUGAUAUUCAAAAGAUUUUUUUUUAAUUUAAGGUACUUAAAUUAUUAUUUUAUCUCUUCUUAUCUGAAUAUAUAUAUUAUAUCUAAUGAAAACAUGCCACAUAGUAUGUUUUUAUUGGUUGAUAUUAUUUUUUUAAUUGUGAAAAAAUAAUAGUUUUCUGACCAAAUAUUUUUAAUAUAUAUAUAUAUACACACACUAAACUAGGAAUUAAAUUAUAUACCAGUAUAAUAUCAUUUUACAUUUUUUUAUAUUUAUUUUUUAAAAUAAUUGCAUUUAUUUAUUUUUUAAAUGUUAUAAUUAAAAUUUUAUACAUAUAUUAGAUUACGACACACCCACAAUGCAAGUGAAAAAAUUAUAUAAUAUAUAUUUAUUAAAAAUUCAUAUAAAAAACAAAUGAAACUUUGGUUGAAACAGUAAAAUUAAAUGUUUGAAAAUAAAUUAAGCAUCAAUUAAAAUGGUAAAAAUAAAUGUUUAAUAUUCAAAUAAUGUCUUAGGUUCAAAUCUCACUAUGUCUGAUUUUUUAUUUAUUUAUAAAAAUACAAAAAGAUAAAAAAAAACUUCAUAAUAAUAUAAAUUAUUAUAUAAAAUGAAAAUUUUUUUUUCAUUUCUUGAUUGAAUUAAUAUAGAUUGAAUCGUGACACUAAAUUAAAGGUAUAAACAAUUGUAUCGAAUUAUUAUGUAAAAUAAAAGUACGCUUGAAUUAUGUUUUGCUAAUUAAGUAAAAUAAUGGUCGAGUCUUGAUCCAACUGAUAGCAUAGUCCUGUGCAAUCUGGGUUAAACAACUAUCCCACGCAAUUAUCAAAAAUGUGAACAGCCAUAUAAUCUAUCAAUAAAGUACUGAAAUUUUAACCACAAAUAUCAACUGUAAAAAAUACCAAAAACAAAACAACUUUUAAAUACCAAAAGUAUCAAACACAAGCGCUCACACAAAAGCAUACACUACUAGCAGUUCAUCAACAUUCCAAUUAACCAAUAAAAAACUUCUUGACUGCUAUUACUUGAACGACAUAACUGGAAGCAGCAACUACUCUAGCCGUUGUUUCUUCUUUAAUUUGGCCAACUCUAGAAUGGAUUCUUGGAUAGCUUCUUCCAAUCUCUUUAUCUUUGUUUGAUUCUCCAAUGUUUCACGUAGCCAUGAAAGUUCCAAACCAGUGACCUCCAUGUCUUUCACCCUUACCAAAAUAUCAUCAAUCUCAGUUAGCUCAAGCUUACCAAGACUGCUUUCUAAUUUCAAGUAAAUUUCAGCGAGAGCAUUCAUAAUGUUGCUUUGAAACACUCGAUCUUUCAAUUGAAAUUGGUCAGCAAAGUGAGCAUGGUUUUGAAAUAUUUUGUUGAGCGCAUCAGCAUUGCGUUGAUAAACCUCGUAUCCUUUGAUGACGACAGCUGUGACAUCAAAGGUAAUUAAAGAUCCUGUCUUUAUAUAUUAAUUCAAAGAAAAAAUAAAUUCAUUAAAUAGUAGCUUGCAGCCUUUACUUGAAAUCAAAUUAUCGAGCCAACUUUCCAAGGGCGAAUCAGUCUGAAGCUCUUCAAUGUCGAAUGAGUCCCCCAAAGCACCCAUAGGGUUAGAAGAUUCAGGAUUCAAAUGAGCUGGAGGAAUCUAUAAGCAAAAGAGAACCAGAAAUUGGUCCAAAAAUAAGCAGAUAAAAUCAAAAGCUUUGCAACGUUAUAACACAACAAAUAAGGAGAAAAGUAAACAGCAUUACGCACAGAAUUAGUAACUGACAGCUUUCCUAGUCAGGAUUUCUUUUUUGUGUGUUUCUACCUGAUAUUUCUUGUUUCAGUUUAGUUUCUUACCAUAAAUGUGGCAUCAACUAGACAGUCCUGAAAUAACUAUUUGAAGUUUGAGUGUUCAUGUCUUAAGGUAUAAUAUUAAAGUUUUGGAUUCAAGCUGGUACCUUAACCAGAAUGCACAGUAGCAGGAUAGCAUUUUCUCUACAACUACAUGUAACCAAGAGAAUUAAUGAAGAAAUUAAACAAAAAUGAAUGGUGAUGUAUAGUUUGCAAAAGAUAAAAUAGACAGCUCAUUAAAGGAAUGACAAGUUCUACAUACAUGGCAGCAGGAAUAAGUGAGAAGAGCUAAAAACUUAAUUGGUCGACGAGUAUUGUUAUAACUGAAUAUUAAACUUCAUCUUUGCAUCAUUCAUUAAAAUGAUAGACAAUAAGUUAAUGCACAAUACAUGCUUGCAUUUUCAGGUCAUAAUUUGCUCUGUUAAACUCAAAAUUCAAUCCUUACCAUCUUUUGGUCGCUUUGCAUUUUCAAUGUUAAUGUCUCUAGUCUUCCUCCCACAUAUUUUAUGGCAAAUUUCAUUUCCUCAGCUUGUUUCUCUUCAUCAAUCAUCUACAUUCGAAAUAUAUAAAGAUGAGUAGCAAAGUGAAACAGAGAACAGAACAACAGAGGCAGACAAGUUACUAGAUGUUCGCCUCUUUAAGAUUGUUCUAACAAAUUACUAAGACAGAAAUGAUAUGGCAACCUUAAUAAGUCUACUCCUUAUUUAACCUGAUAAUAAACCAUUUAGCAGGACUCAUGUUUGCUACAAUUACAAUUUUUUUCUUCUACAAAAGGGUUUUCAUGAUAAAUGUAAAAUCUAAUACUCCAUUGAUUAAAAGAGGACAUCCUAACACUUCUUUUGCUAUAAAUAAUCCCUGCAUGUAAACUUCAAAUCAUACAGUAGACUUAUAAUUCCUACCUGUAAGUGUUCAUUGUGAUAGGUAUAUUAUAUUUUUAAAAGAUUAUUCCGAAUUUGAGAAUUUUAGUUACCUUCAGCAUUUGGUUCUACUCUUGUUCUAGUAAAUAAAGAAAAGAAAAUCAUAAAUGAGAAAAACUAUAUGUAGGUAGAUAAAAUUCGUAAAUUAGUGAUAUUUAGAAAGUAUCUACACAAACCAUAAUUUAUCACAUUCAAAGUCCAAGUUGGAUCUCAAAGCUAUUACCUUUGAGCCAGGAAAGUGGAGUGCGAAUUGUUCAUCUUCUAUUUGCACGAAAGGUCCUUGAAUAGAAUUUGCAGAGUCCACAAUAUCAUACAUCUUUGCACAACAAGACUUGAGCACAUUACUUAGCAUACCCGAGACCUUGCAAAAAGUCUUUGCCUCCGUCAUUGAUUGCGCCUUUUGGUCACAAAUGGCAUUUGCCUGGACAUGCAAAAUAUAAAGUUAAUAAUGUUUGAUCUAAAGGAAAAGCAUAAUGAAAGAAAGGAAACAGAGUUACAAAGCAAUCGGUAUUGCCUGUACAAGGUGCUCUUUAAGUGAUUGUAGCUCCUUCUUUAUCAAGUAUACUACUGUUUGAUCUAAAAAUAUAAAGAAAACAAACAAGAAAUAAUAAAAUAUUAAUGUAGAUGAUUAAUCAACACGUAAUAUCUCUUCAAAGAUCAUACCUAAGCCAUUAAUCUCAUUUGUAUGGUCUUGGUUUGGAACUGAAUUUUCUGAUUGGUUCAAUACUGAUUCAAUCAAUUGGAAUGCCUCUUUCACUUUCGUAUUUUGACUAAUACUCUCCUUCAUCAUCUCUUUCAACAUUUUAAAUCCAAAUUGCGGGUCUUUGAGUUGCUCAAUUGCCUUUACUACUUUCAUUACUUUUAACUCCCAUGAGGUCUAAAUAAUAAAUUUAAGAAAGAUAUGUAAUAAGAAUUUGCCUAAAACAUGUGGUCUGCAUAACAAAAUUUCAUAGAGUUGAAAAGAAAACAUUACCGUAGUUGAAAUACUCUCAUCACCCAAUAUUAUACGUAACAGCUUUACCACUUCAGUCCAGCAACUCUGCACAUAGAGUUGGAAAAAACUCAACCAUUAAAAGAAAAUAAAGAACUAAGUACUCUUCGUUCGGAGCUGAAUUUUUUUACAGCUUUAGAAACGAUUCAACCUCUUGCAAGGCAUUUUUGCUCAUCAUAUCCUCCAGCUGCGUAAAUGCCUCUUGUAUUUUCACUUUUUUCUCCUUCCACAACCGCUGCAUAAUAAAUUUAGAAGGGAAUGUUACUUAAAAAAUCAUCAAAAACGAAUUGUAAUAAUAAAUUUAAAUUUAUUGAAAAGAAUUAAAAAAAAAAAAAACUAUAAAGCAGAGAGAAAACUUUACUAUAUUUGAAAUACUGUCAUCACGCAGUAUCAUACAUAACACCUUGACCACUUCAUCCCAGCAAUCCUGCAUACGGUGGAGAAAAAACAGGUAAAGUGUUAAGUAGUCAAUUAUGAGAAAAGAGGAAACUUUUUCAAAAAAAGAAAAUUUACAUUCUUCCUCCCACGAUGAUUAAAACUUCUUUGACAUUUUGGUUGUUCACUGCCAUUAGCCUCCAUGAAUUCCUUCAAGCUAAAAUAUGGGAAGUGCACCUUGCAGACCAAAAAAAAAAAACUAAACAUAAAAAAGAUAAUAAGAUCUAAAUUGGAAACUAUAGCAAAUCUACAACAAACUACAUAAAUCCUAAUAAAUUUAAAGUCAAAUUUCAAAGACGAAGUAUAUCCUCCUCAGUUCUUUUCCAUAAAAGCAAAGAGAACAAGAGCAAAGGGAGAUUUGAUUCCUUACCUUUUCAGAGAGAACUUUUCUUUGUUGCACCCUUCCCCUUCUGUGAACAUGUUAAGUCGUUUUAUAAAUGAAAUUAAGCUAUUUUUCCCGUUCUUUUUUUCCGUUCUCGCCAUGAAUAUUAAAGAAUCGCGCAACUGCAGUUUUCUUCUUGCAAAGUGUACAAGUCAAAGCACGCACUCCCCAAUACCUCAUCCUUUUUUAUCAUUUUCUGGAUAAACUAAUAUCUUAAAAUAUUAGGAACAUUAUUAUUUAAUAGAAUAAAAAUUGUUUAAGAAAUCUAGUGUUUAAUAAAUGAGACGCGAGUGAGUUAGUUUGCUUUUUAUUAUACAAAGUUUACUUCUCGUUAUUUUUGUCUGCUCUUAAUUAUAUUUAAGUACACCUGAUUUUAUAUUUUACUAAUGAGUGCAGUAAUAGUAGUUAGAACUCAAUUAUUUUUUUAAGUUGAAUACUUGUAAUAGUUAAUAUAACUGUGAAUUCUAAGUUUGAAUUUUAUUUUUAUUUUUUUGAGUCGAAUUGAAUUUUACGUACCCUUCCAUUAGAUAUGCUUUGCAAUGACUGUCCACUCAAGACUAUUCAUAAUCAGAACCCCCCAUAAGCCCUAAUUGAGUUACCUUAGAAAUGAUCUGCUAUGGAUCAUCUGUAGGGACUGUUGAGCCAUAACAACCUCGUAUAACCUUAGCAAUGAGAAUGUCAAAGCAGAAUCACAUAGUACCACAUAUGGCGACAACUGACCUAUUACGGCCCUACCACCUGAUUGGCCAUAUGACAGGCCUACCCUUUGUAUUGUUGGCUACAUGACACUACUAAACAAAAUGACACUCUCUUAUAUACACCUCCACAUGAAAGCACAAGAUCUAGCUCCUUCUUCCCCAAGAGAAAUCUAAGUGUUCUCCUUCCGGCCUUUAUCUUCUCCCUUAACCUUCCACUUAAGACUCUUCGACUAUCAAAGGUGAACCGACCAUUCUAUGUCCAUUAGCUUCUCUUCCUUAUUACCUUUUUUGUUAAAAUAUUGUAUCAACAAAAUUCAAAAAGUAAUUAAGUUUAACCAAACAGAUUUUAUUGAUACAGUUUGGUGGGUUAAGACUAAAAUUCUAAAUUUUAAAAAAUAAAUAAACUAAAAUUGACCAAUUCAAAAAAAUACAAAAAAUAAAUUCAAUCAAAUUAAAGUAUAAAAACUAAAUCCACAACUUUCACAAUACAAUAACUAAUAGCAAAAUUUAACUUUAUUAAAAGGAAAUGGUGGUUGGAAAAGGUUUUCUGUUGCAAACAAUAUUCUAAAUUUCUAAUAUUGUAAAUAAGAUUUUCCUUUCAUUAUUAUUUUUUAUUUAAUAUAAUAUUUGAUGCUUGAUUUUUUUUAAUCUGAUAUUUAUUUCUUUUUCUGAUCAAUUUAAUAUUUAAAUUUGUCAACCGUUAUAUAAAUAGACAAAAAUAAUCAAUGUAUACUUUAUUGGUAGCAAAUGGCAUGAAAUCCAUUUUUUUUAUUUUAAAUAUUAAAUCAUCUUUAUUUUUAAUUAUUUUUAUUUUUAAUUUAAUAUAAUAAAUUGUUUUUAUUUUGGAUUCUUAAAAACUUGAUUUCUUCUCCUAUAUCUAUCUAUCUAUCUAUCUAUCUAUAUAUAUAUAUAUAUAUAUAUAUAUAUAUAUUCCUAAGGAGGUAUGAUUAACAUUUAUAAAAUUAUAUUUUUAAAUCCCACAAUAGACUCAUAAUUCUUACACCUAAAUGUUGGUGCCUUAUGAUAGGUACACUAGAUAACAGAUUUAGAUGGCUAAAUUACUAAUAUCACUUCUAAAUCCAACAUUUACUACUGUCACAACUAUUAUUUUCUAAUAAAAAUAUCAUUAAUUAACACGUAAUAUCUCCUCAAAGAUCAUAUUUAUGUCAUCAAUUCUAUGUUGUACGGGAUUGCCCAGCUGCAGCGGGUGUUUGGCGGCAGCUCCUACCGACCAGUGCUCUGCACAGGUUUUUCUCUAUUGAUUUUUUGGGCUCGUUAUCUGGGGCUUAUGGAAAUAUCAGAAUGGGAUGAUAUUUGGUACACAUCAUCCUUCGUUACAGUCUAUUGCGACUAGGUAUCAGCGUUCUUCGUCUGAUGAUUUUCCAUCCUGUUGAAGGGUGGACCAAGCUGAUCUCUGAGCAAUUUACAAACGACUUUUAUUUGCUUGGGACACAGGCUUAAGAUAUAUUGAAGUAGGGAGUGACAAUCUUUCGGCCGUUACUCAGCUGAAUUCCUGUGAUGCCAGAACUAUCAUUGUGGCUUUGGUUAGGAGUACUUUCAUGUUUAUGCAAAGGAAGUGGAAAGUGAAGAUAACACUUGCUUACAGGAAAGCUAAUUUACUGGCAGACUUUAUGGCUAAAAGUGCAGUGGAUGGUAGAGGCACAAGGAUGUGUUACGAUGAACCACCACAAGGAGCCGGCGUUCUCUUGCUAGCUGAUGCCCAAGGGUCUCAAUGCUUAAAAUAGUUGCUUUCAACCUUUGAAAAGAUUUAACUUUUCAAAAAAAAAUCAAAUUCCUAUUUUCUAAUGAAAAUAUUGAUUAAAACAUUAAAUUUUUAAAUAUAGUAAUCUAAGUUGAUUUAGGCUUUACUUUACUUGGUAGAAUGUAAAAAAUAUUGGAAUGACAGAAAAUUAAAAGAGUAGAAAAAUAGGAAGAUCGAAUAUAAAAUUUUUCUUUCCGUCGGUUUGGUUGUAAAAACUUUGUAAAUAAUUAUACGCAUAAAAUAGUUACAUACAUAAGCUGAGUUAAAAGAAAACCAACUGAAGCUGGAGAAGGACAAAGCUGAGUUAGAAGAAAACCUGCUGAAGCUAGCCAGGUUGCAGAAGAAACCACGGCUUGCAUAAUUUGCUUUUCUGAAAUACAUUCUCAAUGGUUUAUCGAGGAUGUUGAUGAACUGAAGAUACAAACAGUAUGUGUUUGUGUGAUGGUUUUGUGUUUGAAUCUCAAUGGUUUAUUGGAAUGUUUAUGAACUAAAGAUACAGACAGUAUGUGUUUGUGUGAUGGUUUUGUGUUUGGAUCUCAAUGGUUUAUUGGGAUGUUUAUGAACUGAAGAUACAGACAAUAUGCGUUUGUGUGAUGGUUUUGUGUUUGAAUCUCAAUGGUUUAUUGGGAUGUUUAUGAACUGCAAACUCAGACAGUAUGUGUUUAUGUGAUGAUUUUGUGUUUGAAUCUCAAUGGUCGAAGUGAGAUUUUUUUUAUUAUUUCAAAAACCUCACGCCAACAAAUUUAACAACUAAAAAAAUAAAAGUGUUAAUAACUGGACUUGAAUUAUAAAAUUUGAAAAUUAAAGCGAUUAAAUUCUUAGAAAUAAAAUUACAUACUCGAAAUUUGAGAGAGUUUGGACAACGCACUACACCAAAACAGGCUUUUAGCGGCGUUUUUAGCGGCGUUUAGAUAAAAAACGCCCUAAGGAUCGAUCAUUAGCGGCGCAUAACAGGAAACGCCGCUAAAAAUAAGCAUUAGCGGCGUUUUUGAGAAAGCGCCGCAAAAAACCUAAGCCCAACGACGUCGUUUCCCGAGCUUUCGGGGAUUUAGCGGCGUUUUUAUGAAAGCGCUGCUAAUGCUCAGGGCUUUAGCGGCAUUUUCGAAAAAGCGCCGCAAAAAAACCUAAGCCCAACUACAUCGUUUUCUAAGCUUUCGGGGAUUUAGCGGCGUUUUUGAAAAAGCGCAGCAAAAAACCUAAGCCCAACGACGCCGUUUUCUAAGUUUUUCGGGGAUUUAGCGGCGUUUUUAGAAAAGCGAGUCGGGCAAAGGCUUAAAAAUUCAUGGCUCAAGCCAUUUUCUAAUUUUCUAAUAUAUUAUAUUAUGUUAUUUUUAUAUAUUACGUAAAUUAUUAUGGAAGAUAAAUAUGUAGUAAUAUAUAUAAUAUUAUAAUGCAAACAUUAAAAAAUGUUAAGAUGUCUGUAUAAAAUUUUAAUAGAUUGAAAACUAUAUAAAUCUAUUAAAUAUUAAAAUAAAAAUAAUAUAAAUAUUUUCUAAAAAAAAUUAGUUAACCAUUUAUAAAUAUGAGCGAUUUCAGUAAAAUUUUAAGUUUAUAUUUCAGGCCAAGCGGACUUGAACAAACAUAAAGCGUGUUGAUACUGCACUUAAGUCCGGAAUAACUUAACUCAUAUCAUCUCUAAAUGCGAAUGAGUUAUACCUUAUUCUCAUUUUGAUAUUCAAAAGAUUUUUUUUAAUUUAAGGUACUUAAAUUAUUAUUUUAUCUCUUUUUAUCUAAAUAUAUAUAUUAUAUCUAAUGAAACAUGCCACACAGUAUGUUUUUAUUGGUUGAUGUUAUUUUUUUAAUUGUGAAAAAUUAAUAGUUUUCUGACCAAAUAUUUUUAAUAUAUAUAUAUAUACACACUAAACUAGGAAUUAAAUUAUAUAUCAGUAUAAUAUUAUUCUACAUUUUUUUAUUGUAGGCAUAAAUAGUUAUAUUUACUUUUUAAAAUAAUUGCAUUUAUUUAUUUUUUAAAUGUUAUAAUUAAAAUUUCAUACAUAUAUUAGAUUAUGACACACCCACAAUGCAAGUAAUAAAAAUUAUAUAAUAUAUGUACAGCUCAAUUUUGCCCCAAUCCCAAUAGCCAGAACAAUUAACCUCAGUCCACUACCCCCAAAACCAAAAUGGCCCAAGAUCCAAAACCAGGCCCAACUAAACCUAACCCAAAUCAAAGGCCAAAUUUCCAAAAAAAAAAAAAUUUUGCCUGAAACCCUAGGCGCUGCCCCUAGCCAUUUUGACCUUUGGCCUUCUGACGCCGCCACGGUCACGUCGCCAUCGCCGCACGUCACCGUCGCCCACUUGCUCACCCCACUUGCGUCGUCACCUGUAAGGAAGAAAACAAAGAAAGCAACCAGACAAACAGUAGCAAAAAUAGGCUAUAAAAGUCGAAAAAUGUAACUUUGAGGGGGGUUCCUUUUCCUUUUUCCUAUUUUUGUAUCAAAAAACACAUAUCAACAAAAGAAAUAAAAAAAAUCGAAUCAAGCUUCAAGGAUGUGUUACGAUGAACCACCACAAGGAGCCGGCGUUCUCUUGCUAGCUGAUGCCCAAGGGUCUCAAUGCUUAAAAUAGUUGCUUUCAACCUUUGAAAAGAUUUAACUUUUCAAAAAAAAAAAUCAAAUUCCUAUAUUCUAAUGAAAAUAUUGAUUAAAACAUUAAAUUUUUAAAUAUAGUAAUCUAAGUUGAUUUAGGCUUUACUUGGUAGAAUGUAAAAAAUAUUGGAAUGACAGAAAAUUAAAAGAGUAGAAAAAUAGGAAGAUGGAAUAUAAAAUUUUUCUUUCCAUCGGUUUGGUUGUAAAAACUUCGUAAAUAAUUAUACGCAUAAAAUAGUUACAUACAUAAGCUGAGUUAAAAGAAAACCAACUGAAGCUGGAGAAGGACAAAGCUGAGUUAGAAGAAAACCUACUGAAGCUAGCCAGGUUGCAGAAGAAACCACGGUUUGCGUAAUUUGCUUUUCUGAAAUACAUUCUCAAUGGUUUAUCGAGGAUGUUGAUGAACUGAAGAUACAAACAGUAUGUGUUUGUGUGAUGGUUUUGUGUUUGAAUCUCAAUGGUUUAUUGGGAUGUUUAUGAACUGAAGAUACAGACAGUAUGUGUUUGUGU